rnacentral:rRNA from 1 species
UACGUAGGGUGCGAGCGUUAAUCGGAAUUACUGGGCGUAAAGCGUGCGCAGGCGGUUCGUUAUGUCCGAUGUGAAAGCCCCGAGCUCAACUUGGGAAUGGCAUUGGAAACUGGCGGGCUGGAGUGUGGCAGAGGGGGGUGGAAUUCCACGUGUAGCAGUGAAAUGCGUAGAGAUGUGGAGGAACACCGAUGGCGAAGGCAGCCCCCUGGGCCAAUACUGACGCUCAUGCACGAAAGCGUGGGGAGCAAACAGG